UGGUAAAAUCUGCACAGUUUGUGCAAACAGAAUUAAAAUCACUCUACGUGGAUCAAGCAGCAAAAUGGCAGAUGUUUUGUAUGUGAUUUUCACAAGAAAGAGACUGCUAGAGGACCGCAGAGUAAACCCAAGCGUGGAAGACCACAAGCAGCACAAGCAGCUGGCCUUUCUUUGCCCCUUCCCUUUUCACUAUCUGAGGAGAACAUUUUUCAGCACUUAACUCUGAAAUCAUGCACCAUUGAAUAUCCGUCAGAAUUUGACAUAAUUGGCCAUGAAUGGGAGCAGUCAUUUUUCACAUGUGGCAUCUGUCUCCGCAUCAUUAGACAGCCGUGUGUGAAAACAUCAUGCCAGCACAAUUACUGUGCAAAAUGUCUGACACUCUGUUCAGGCAUGCAGGCAAUGAGGUAAUAAAUUGUCCCAUUUGCAAUCAUCAAACCAGAUUCCAUGAUUUAACUGAAAGUCCCAGGUCCUAAAGUUCCAGCUGGCAAAUCUGAAUGUAAUCUGUACCAAGUGCAGCAGUAUUGGAAAAAUUGAACAGUUACAGAGCCAUGAUUGUCAGAAGUGAAGUGGCUCCACCCAACCGAUUGCAUGUAAGCCCUACAAAAGAGCAAUUUGCAUGUCUGGAUGAAACAAGUGCAGCGUGCUUACUCAAACAGCUGGCUGAACUACAUGAAGCUGGAAAGCCAAUUCCUAGUGAAAUCGAAGAAGCCACAGACAAGUGGAUGUGGCACAAGCUAAAUAACACCCACCCAGGGAAGGCCACACCAAUACGAACUAGAGGCAGACCUGCUCACAUUCAAAGAGUUACUGUGCCAUCGAAGUUAAGUUACAACAUCACAGCUGCAUGUAAGCAACAGCGAACUGCCACAAUAUCAGAAUUCAGACUUGUUAUCAGCAAAGGGGUUGUUGAAAUCAGCAUGCUGAUGAAAUGUGCUGCCUGCCAAGCAACACAGGCGAGAACUGAACCGUGACAGCAGAUGAUGCACUAGCCAUGAUGAAAGAUUGCCAUGUGGGGUGGAACCAAAUGAGAGAAUUCAGAAGCUACAUGAAGAGCACCAGCAACACUGCAAUCUGAUCUGAGCGGCAAAUGAGAAAACAAGAAGACAGGCUGUUAACCACCCCAUGCAGGGGAUUCCGGAUCCGGACACGUAUGCUUUAUAUGCGUGGCCUGGGUGUCCGAACUUGGACAA